GAUGAACGCUGGCGGCGUGCCUAACACAUGCAAGUCGAACGGAGUCGUUUUGGAAAUCUCUUCGGAGAUGGAAUUCUCGACUUAGUGGCGGACGGGUGAGUAACGCGUGAGCAAUCUGCCUUUAAGAGGGGGAUAACAGUCGGAAACGGCUGCUAAUACCGCAUAAAGCAUUAAAUUCGCAUGUUUUUGAUGCCAAAGGAGCAAUCCGCUUUUAGAUGAGCUCGCGUCUGAUUAGCUAGUUGGCGGGGUAACGGCCCACCAAGGCGACGAUCAGUAGCCGGACUGAGAGGUUGAACGGCCACAUUGGGACUGAGACACGGCCAAGACUCCUACGGUAGGCAGCAGUGGGGAAUAUUGCGCAAUGGGGGAAACCCUGACGCAGCAACGCCGCGUGAUUGAAGAAGGCCUUCGGGGUGUAAAGAUCUUUAAUCAGGGACGAAACAAAUGACGGUACCUGAAGAAUAAGCGCCGGCUAACUACGUG
rnacentral:rRNA from 1 species